rnacentral:rRNA from 1 species
CACAAAAUGACUCUCGGCAACGGAUAUCUCGGCUCUUGCAUCGAUGAARAACGCAGMRAAAUGCGAUACUUGGUGUGAAUUGCAGAAUCCCGUGAACCAUCGAGUCUUUGAACGCAAGUUGCGCCCAAAGCCAUUAGGUUGAGGGCACGCCUGCCUGGGUGUCACA